GAUGAACGCUGGCGGCGUGCCUAAUACAUGCAAGUCGAGCGAACGGACGAGAAGCUUGCUUCUCUGAUGUUAGCGGCGGACGGGUGAGUAACACGUGGAUAACCUACCUAUAAGACUGGGAUAACUUCGGGAAACCGGAGCUAAUACCGGAUGAUAUUUUGAACCGCAUGGUUCAAAAGUGAAAGACGGUCUUGCUGUCACUUAUAGAUGGAUCCGCGCUGCAUUAGCUAGUUGGUAAGGUAACGGCUUACCAAGGCAACGAUGCAUAGCCGACCUGAGAGGGUGAUCGGCCACACUGGAACUGAGACACGGUCCAGACUCCUACGGAGGCAGCAGUAGGGAAUCUUCCGCAAUGGGCGAAAGCCUGACGGAGCAACGCCGCGUGAGUGAUGAAGGUCUUCGGAUCGUAAAACUCUGUUAUUAGGGAAGAACAUAUGUGUAAGUAACUGUGCACAUCUUGACGGUACCUAAUCAGAAAGCCACGGCUAACUACGUG
rnacentral:rRNA from 1 species